rnacentral:piRNA from 1 species
UCUUUAUGUCAGGCUGAUUGCAUAAGAAA